rnacentral:rRNA from 1 species
AGAUUAAACUAAAGAGUUUGAUCCUGGCUCAGAUUGAACGCUGGCGGCAUGCCUUACACAUGCAAGUCGAACGGCAGCACGGAGCUUGCUCUGGUGGCGAGUGGCGAACGGGUGAGUAAUAUAUCGGAACGUACCCUGGAGUGGGGGAUAACGUAGCGAAAGUUACGCUAAUACCGCAUACGAUCUAAGGAUGAAAGUGGGGGAUCGCAAGACCUCAUGCUCCUGGAGCGGCCGAUAUCUGAUUAGCUAGUUGGUAGGGUAAAAGCCUACCAAGGCAUCGAUCAGUAGCUGGUCUGAGAGGACGACCAGCCACACUGGAACUGAGACACGGUCCAGACUCCUACGGGAGGCAGCAGUGGGGAAUUUUGGACAAUGGGCGCAAGCCUGAUCCAGCAAUGCCGCGUGAGUGAAGAAGGCCUUCGGGUUGUAAAGCUCUUUUGUCAGGGAAGAAAAGGGUGCGGCUAAUAUCUGCGCCUCAUGACGGUACCUGAAGAAUAAGCACCGGCUAACUACGUGCCAGCAGCCGCGGUAAUACGUAGGGUGCAAGCGUUAAUCGGAAUUACUGGGCGUAAAGCGUGCGCAGGCGGUUUUGUAAGACUGUCGUGAAAUCCCCGGGCUCAACCUGGGAAUGGCGAUGGUGACUGCAAGGCUAGAGUUUGGCAGAGGGGGGUAGAAUUCCACGUGUAGCAGUGAAAUGCGUAGAUAUGUGGAGGAACACCGAUGGCGAAGGCAGCCCCCUGGGUCAAAACUGACGCUCAUGCACGAAAGCGUGGGGAGCAAACAGGAUUAGAUACCCUGGUAGUCCACGCCCUAAACGAUGUCUACUAGUUGUCGGGUCUUAAUUGACUUGGUAACGCAGCUAACGCGUGAAGUAGACCGCCUGGGGAGUACGGUCGCAAGAUUAAAACUCAAAGGAAUUGACGGGGACCCGCACAAGCGGUGGAUGAUGUGGAUUAAUUCGAUGCAACGCGAAAAACCUUACCUACCCUUGACAUGGAUGGAAUC